AGUGAACGCUGGCGGUAGGCCUAACACAUGCAAGUCGAACGGCAGCACAGAGGAGCUUGCUCCUUGGGUGGCGAGUGGCGGACGGGUGAGGAAUACAUCGGAAUCUACCUUGUCGUGGGGGAUAACGUAGGGAAACUUACGCUAAUACCGCAUACGACCUACGGGUGAAAGCGGAGGGCCGCAAGGCUUCGCGCGAUUGGAUGAGCCGAUGUCGGAUUAGCUUGUUGGCGGGGAAUGGCCCACCAAGGCGACGAUCCGUAGCUGGUCUGAGAGGAUGAUCAGCCACACUGGAACUGAGACACGGUCCAGACUCCUACGGGAGGCAGCAGUGGGGAAUAUUGGACAAUGGGCGCAAGCCUGAUCCAGCCAUACCGCGUGGGUGAAG
rnacentral:rRNA from 1 species